rnacentral:rRNA from 1 species
AGGACGAACGCUGGCGGCGUGCUUAACACAUGCAAGUCGAACGGUGAAGCUUGGAGCUUGCUUCGAGUGGAUCAGUGGCGAACGGGUGAGUAACACGUGAGCAACCUGCCCCCAGACUCUGGAAUAAGCGCUGGAAACGGCGUCUAAUACUGGAUAUGUGACGGACCUGCAUGGGUACCGUCUGGAAAGUUUUUCGGUUUGGGAUGGGCUCGCGGCCUAUCAGCUUGUUGGUGAGGUAAUGGCUCACCAAGGCGACGACGGGU